GAAUGCUGGCGGCGUGUUUAAGACAUGCAAGUCGCACGGAAUGAACCGAGUAGUAAUACCUGGUGAUUUUAGUGGCGCACGGGUGAGUAACACGUGAAUUACAUGCCCUUCAGUGGGGAAUAGCCCAGGGAAACUUGGAUUAAUGCCCCAUAGUCUCGCAAGAGUAAAGGUGGCCGCAAGGCUGUCGCUGAAGGAUUGGUUCGCGCCCUAUCAGCUUGUUGGUGAGGUAACGGCUCACCAAGGCUACGACGGGUACCUGGUCUGAGAGGACGAUCAGGCACACUGGAACUGAGACACGGUCCAUACACCUACGGGUGGCAGCAGUCUAGAAUAAUUCACAAUGGACGAAAGUCUGAUGGUGCAACGCCGCGUGGAGGAUGACGGUCUUAGGAUUGUAAACUCCUGUCAUCCGGGAGAAAGACUUGGGAGUUAAUAGCUCACAGGGUUGAUAGUACCGGAAGAGGAAGGGACGGCUAACUUCGUGCCAGCAGCCGCGGUAAUACGAAGGUCCCAAGCGUUGUUCGGAAUCACUGGGCGUAAAGGGAGCGUACGCGGCGCGGUAAGUCGGAUGUGAAAUCCCGAGGCUCAACCUCGGAACUGCAUCUGAUACUGCCGUGCUAGAGUAAUGGAGGGGUAGCUGGAAUUCUCGGUGUAGCAGUGAAAUGCGUAGAUAUCGAGAGGAACACUCGUGGCGAAAGCGAGCUACUGGACAUUUACUGACGCUGAGGCUCGAAGGCUAGGGGAGCGAAAGGGAUUAGAUACCCCUGUAGUCCUAGCAGUAAACGGUGCACGCUUGGUGUGAGCCGGAGCUAACGCGUUAAGCGUGCCGCCUGGGAAGUACGGUCGCAAGACUAAAACUCAAAGAAAUUGACGGGGACCCGCUACAAGCGGUGGAGUAUGUGGCUUAAUUCGAUGCAACGCGAAGAACCUUACCUAGGCUUGACAUGCAUCUCUAAGCACGUGAAAGCGUGUGACCCUUCGGGGGAUUUGCACAGGUGCUGCAUGGCCGUCGUCAGCUCGUGUCGUGAGAUGUUGGGUUAAGUCCCGCAACGAGCGCAACCCUUGUGAUUAGUUGCCAGCACGUAAUGGUGGGAACUCUAGUCAGACUGCCCAGAUCAACUGGGAGGAAGGUGGGGACGACGUCAGGUCAGUAUGGCCCUUACGCCUAGGGCUGCACAUGUACUACAAUGCUCAGUACAAUUAGAACCGAUACCGCGAGGUGGAGGAAAUCUGUAAAACUGGGCUCAGUUCGGAUUGGAGGCUGCAACUCGCCUCCAUGAAGUUGGAAU
rnacentral:rRNA from 1 species